rnacentral:lncRNA from 1 species
AAAAAAUAUAGGAAUAACUUUGUAGUAAUAUAUGAGAAAACCAUAAAGUUCGCUCAAAACAGAAUUAUGAGGAAAAAAUACCAUGAGUACGGUAUGUAUACUACUUACCUGGUACGGGUACUUCACCAUUCUGUUUGAAUUUGAAGUCUUUCAAUGUAAAAUAUGAAGAAAAAAUGGCUGUCAUUAAUGGUUUUCAGUGUUGCGCACUGGCCAACCAAACAAUGUCAGAUCUGCUAAAGGAACUAUGAAGAUGAUCAAUCAAAUUGAUGCACGCCUAAGCUACAUUCUCCACGACUCUCUCAGAUGGCGAAGAUUCUUGCUUGAAUGUGAAAAAAAAAGAGCAAACCAAUUUAUAUCAAUCACCACAAACCCAAGCACAAGUCAUGUUUAGAUUAGUGACUGGUCACCCUUUUCAUUGAUGCUGUUAAUGUAUGUACAUUUUGAAUUUUCACGUUUAAUUUUUGGAUUCUCUGCUUUUUUAAAAUAUAUUUGUCAGGAAGAAAGUAUCUUUGAAUUUGGUUGUCUUCUUUAAAUGUUAAAUCUCUAAUUUAUCCCCGAACAUAAAUUUUACGACUAUUAUUUUUCUGUGAGUGCAG